CAAUCUCCCUCAAUGUUGCGAUUUGCUUCUCGAGAUCUCCAAUCUGAGCUUCCAGAGAAGCCACUCGCACACAACCAUCACAGAGGUAUGGACCCUGGAUGGGUACAUCCAGGCAUCCAUACAUGCAACAAGAUGUGCAUUGAGUUAAACCAGCAAUCUUGCUAACACUCAUUUCCCCUUUAAACAGUAAAUAAAAACAGUUACCUUGAUAGUUUAAACCCCUUGUUUGUUUCAACUUCUGGUUUUCUAACUCCUACUUGAAAGAGUCUACUUAAUAG
rnacentral:lncRNA from 1 species